UUGGCGAGGUGUUGGAGGGUGGGCACUAUGUAAUAAUAUCACAGUGUUUUAACAACUUUGAACAACUGAAUCUGUUUCGGAAGCUUGUAUUUCAUUUAGCACGUCAAUCAUUUAUAAAAACACUGAAAAUAUUUCUUCUGGAAUUGCUUCAUUUAUUAUAAAAACAGCAUUUUU